rnacentral:tRNA from 1 species
AAUAAAGUGCCUGAAUAAAGGAUUAUCUUGAUAGGAUAAAAUAUGUAAUUUAGCUUACCUUUAUUA